AUUGAACGCUAGCGGGAUGCUUUACACAUGCAAGUCGAACGGCAGCGCGGACUUCGGUCUGGCGGCGAGUGGCGAACGGGUGAGUAAUGUAUCGGAACGUGCCCAGUAGCGGGGGAUAACUACGCGAAAGCGUAGCUAAUACCGCAUACGCCCUACGGGGGAAAGCAGGGGAUCGUAAGACCUUGCACUAUUGGAGCGGCCGAUAUCGGAUUAGCUAGUUGGUGAGGUAACGGCUCACCAAGGCGACGAUCCGUAGCUGGUUUGAGAGGACGACCAGCCACACUGGGACUGAGACACGGCCCAGACUCCUACGGAAGGCAGCAGUGGGGAAUUUUGGACAAUGGGGGCAACCCUGAUCCAGCCAUCCCGCGUGUGCGAUGAAGGCCUUCGGGUUGUAAAGCACUUUUGGCAGGAAAGAAACGUCGCGGGCUAAUACCCCGUGGAACUGACGGUACCUGCAGAAUAAGCACCGGCUAACUACGUG
rnacentral:rRNA from 1 species